CAGCUAAGAAUUGAAUUCCAAGCUUUCUAAAAGAGAGAAUUGGAAAGCAAUUACUCUCAAGUGAACCAAAAUACAUUUUUGUUAUUCCUGCACUGUCUGGAAGCCAUGAAAUCCUGUCUCUGGGAGGCAGCCAUCUUUUCAUCUGUACCUAUCCAGGCCUGCUAUUCCAUCUCCCUGCACUUCCCUUCUUGCUUUUGUCAAAAAGAUUCAGCAGCCAGCCUGCUCCUAUGGAAUAUGUUGGGUUUGUUGAACAAGUAUUUUCUGUUCGUUGCAGAAUGCAUUAUUUGCUACUCUUCCUGCACCUCUAGGUCUGCAACCAAACUGUAUGUUGUCACUUGAAAUGGAGUUACUGUGAGACGCCUUGUAACAUGAGUGGGGGGUGAUAACAGCAAGGCUUUUUCCCUCUGCAAAUGUAUGUGACUUUGCUGAGUUAAUGAAAACAUGGAAGAGGAGGACCAGCAGUAGACACAGACACUAAAUUCAUUCAAGAGCCCAGCAUCAGUGAAUGCUGCUGCUGCUUUCAGCUUCAUCUCCUCCACUGAAAGGUGGAAGCAAAGGCUUGUCAGCCUUUUAAACUUAC